ensembl:lncRNA
GAGGGAAAUGAGAAGGGGAGAGACCUUCAGGGUUUGAACAAUUCUGGAACCAGCCAAGUGCCCACAAUUAGGUUUAUUGAAGCAACUGUUAAUCCAGACACUGACCCUCCAAAGUUAAUCAUUUCUUCUGGCACCAUGAGAGUGAGUUCAUAGGGACUGGCUAAUAAGCUGAUGCUGCUUUUCUUAACUGGCUGAGAAGUUGAUCGUCACCUGAAAAGUUCAUGAUCCGGAAUUAACCUUUGGAUCCAAAGUGAAAGUGAAGUCACUCAGUCGUGUCCGACUCUUCGCGACCCCGUGGACUGUAGCCCACCAGGCUCCUCCGUCCAUGGGAUUCUCCAGGCAAGAAUACUGGAGUGGGAUUGCCACUUCCUUCUCCAGGGGAUCUUCCCGGCCCAGGGGUCGAACCCAGGUCUCCCUUGGAUCCAAAGACAGACUUUAUUCCCACAAAAUCAAAAUUGGUAACACUUUCUUGGAUACCCACUGUACACAAACAAAAAUUAUGUUAACUUGACUGUACAAACAUUGGUAAACAUGAGCCUAAUUUUAAAAAACAUAAUGUUGUUUGUUCUCACAGUUUAAAAGUAUAGCAGAAGAAAUGGGUUACUUUUUUCCUUUAGAGCCUUUCCUAAUAAGCUAACAAACAUGAAUAACUGUAUUUCAGGAUUUUCUCUGCUCCAUAAUCCUCCCUCAGAAGUUUUCAGACACUGAAGAAAUUUUCAAAGAUUAACCUUUGGAAAAAGUUGUCUUUUUAGAAAAGACAAAAGGAAAAAAAAAACCUAUGUGAAAUUUCCCAGAGACUCUCCUUCUAAUUUACACUAAUAGAUAUGCAGGUCAUAUGGAAAAUUAAACACCAAAAUUUGAAUUUUGGGGGCAAGAGAAUUUAUGCACACAAAUCCUAUUACCAGCUAAUGGGAUUUGUGGGGAUCCCCAGUGACCUAUUUAGAAAAUGUACCCCCUGCUGUUCAAGAUGAAUAUAUCAUGUGAGCUAAACCAGAAUACUUAGUCCUGCAGUUGGCUUUAUCCCCAGUCUGUCUGAGUGAUCCCUCCAUGAUUUCUAAAAGAUGCUGGCAACCAUAGCAGUUUGCAUAUCUGACUGACAGUGCAAAAUGACAUCUAUAUUUUCACUUUUAAGUUCUCCAAAAUUUGUUGCAAAUAUUUUUUAAAGGCCUCUUCCUUCCUUUCUCCUUUCCUCUCUACCCUUCCUUCCUCCUCCUUUUUUUCCUCCUUGUCUUCCUGCUCUCCUUUUUCUCCUCACUUUCUUCUCCUUAUUCUUAAAUGUAGAAAAGAAGUGAAGCAAGCAUUAAGGCAUUAAUAUUCUCUUUCUCUCUGUACUUGGUUGAAGAGAUCGAGGCUCCUGUCACAGUUCAAGUACCUGUCACUGCAGUGGUUUCAGAACUCUCUCGUGAGACAAAUAUACACAUGUUUUUGGAGAACCGUUUCUAAGUCAGGACUGUCAGGUGCUGAGAAAACCAAAUCACCAUGAGUGUGGAAGUGUCUGGGGGUAUUGAUACUGCACUCCUGUCUGUACAAUACUCCCUUGGCAAAACACCAGUUUUCUCUGGGACAUGGUCUCUCACCAACCUCCUGCAGCCCUCUGACUGGAUACAAAAUCACCCCUUCCUUCAAAAGGGCGUGUUUCUAUUUACCAGCCAAUGAAACAUCUAUGUCCACAAAGCAAACAUCUCAAAUCUUUUCUUGGAACAUGCCAUCUGAAAGCAAACAUACAAAACUAA